rnacentral:rRNA from 1 species
UACGUAGGGUGCAAGCGUUGUCCGGAAUUAUUGGGCGUAAAGAGCUCGUAGGCGGUUUGUUGCGUCGGCUGUGAAAUCCCGAGGCUCAACCUCGGGUCUGCAGUCGAUACGAGCAAACUAGAGUGUUGCAGGGGAGACUGGAAUUCCUGGUGUAGCGGUGAAAUGCGCAGAUAUCAGGAGGAACACCGGUGGCGAAGGCAGGUCUCUGGGCAACAACUGACGCUGGAGGAGCGAAAGCGUGGGGGAGCGAACAGG